AGAGAUGUGUGAUGACGCAUAUCAAUAAGCGGAGGAAAAGAAACUAACAAGGAUUCCCUUAGUAACGGCGAGUGAAGCGGGAAGAGCUCAAAUUUGAAAUCUUCAAGGUUCUACCUUGACGAAUUGUAGUUUAUAGAAGUGUUUUCUGUUAGUAGAGUGGCAAAAGUUCUUUGGAAUAGGACAUCAUAGAGGGUGAGAAUCCCGUAUUUGGUCAUUCUUUCUAGCUGUGUGAUACACUUUCAACGAGUCGGAUUGUUUGGGAAUGCAGUCCAAAAUGGGUGGUAAAUUUCAUCUAAAGCUAAAUAUUGGCGAGAGACCGAUAGCGAACAAGCUACCGUGAGGGAAAGAUGAAAAGAACUUUGAAAAGAGAGUUAAACAGUACGUGAAAUUGUCAAAAGGGAAGCGUUUGACACCAGUGUUGUUUUUCUCGAAAAUCAAUUAAACUAAUGUUUUGUUUUUGAUAGUUAUGACCUUCAAUCGCUUGCUUCAUCUCUUUACUGUAACUUUCUUAAUGCACUUUUCGUUUAACAAGUCAACAUCAGUUUCUUUUGUUGUAAAAGGGUAUGAGGAAGGUGGCUUUCUUUUCGGAGAAAGUGUUUAUAGCCUUGUACCUCUGCAAUCGGAGAGAUUGAGGUCUGCAGCGUAGAUCCUUCUGGGAUUAGAUACAUUUGUGCUAAGUUAUAGCUUUUCAUAGACAACAUUGUUGACUAUGUUAGUCUUGUAAGCUUACUCGCUUAUGCUAAUUUUACCUACGCUUAGGAUGUUGACAGCAGUAUAGACUGU
rnacentral:rRNA from 1 species